UGGCAAGCGAUGACAGGGAGCAGUACGUGGAAUGUUUCUUUCCAGGGAGAAAGGGCCGUGACUGGAAGCCCUUUUAAAGAAAAUCUACGGAAGAUUCACCCUGGAGCUGCGAUCUGAACGUAUGUUUUGCAUACCAGUAGGUGCGCCGGUUCUUCUACCGUUACCAGAAGCGGGUAAGUUUUGCUUGCCCACUGAGUGGUUCUUGCAAUUAAUGAGAACAAUUUGGGUGGUACCACGGCAACGUCCGUCCCUGCU
rnacentral:ncRNA from 1 species